rnacentral:tRNA from 1 species
GCCAAUUAGCUCAGUUGGUUAGAGCACUGGUCUUGUAAACCAGGGGUCCAGAGUUCAACUCUCUGAUUAGGCA